GCGGCCGUGGCGGAAUUUGGUAGACGCUCAGCGUUGAGGUCGCUGUGGAGUAAAAUCCGUGGAAGUUCGAGUCUUCUCGGCCGCACCA
rnacentral:tRNA from 1 species